rnacentral:rRNA from 1 species
AGAGUUUGAUCAUGGCUCAGAGUGAACGCUGGCGGCAUGCCUAACACAUGCAAGUGANNGGUAACAGGCCCGCAAGGGUGCUGACGAGUGGCGGACGGGUGAGGAAUACAUCGGAAUUUGCCCAGUCGUGGGGGAUAACGUAGGGAAACUUACGCUAAUCCGCAUACGACCUAACGGUGAAAGCGGGGGAUCGCAAGCCUCGCGCGAGUGGAUGAGCCGAUGUCGGAUUAGCUAGUUGGCGGGGUAAAGGCCCACCAAGGCGACGAUCCGUAGCUGGUCUGAGAGGAUGAUCAGCCACACUGGGACUGAGACACGGCCCAGACUCCUACGGGAGGCAGCAGUGGGGAAUAUUGGACAAUGGGGGCAACCCUGAUCCAGCAAUGCCGCGUGUGUGAAGAAGGCCUUCGGGUUGUAAAGCACUUUUAUCCGGAACGAAACGCGCAGGGUGAAUAUCCUUGCGAACUGACGGUACCGGAGGAAUAAGCACCGGCUAACUUCGUGCCAGCAGCCGCGGUAAUACGAAGGGUGCAAGCGUUACUCGGAAUUACUGGGCGUAAAGGGUGCGUAGGUGGUUGUUUAAGUCUGUUGUGAAAGCCCCGGGCUCAACCUGGGAAUGGCAAUGGAUACUGGACAGCUAGAGUGCGGUAGAGGGUAGUGGAAUUCCCGGUAGCAGUGAAAUGCGUAGAGAUCGGGAGGAACACCAGUGGCGAAGGCGGCUACCUGGACCAGCACUGACACUGAAGCACGAAAGCGUGGGGAGCAAACAGGAUUAGAUACCCUAGUAGUCC